rnacentral:rRNA from 1 species
AGAGUUUGAUCCUGGCUCAGGAUGAACGCUAGCUACAGGCUUAACACAUGCAAGUCGAGGGGAAACGACAUCGAAAGCUUGCUUUUGAUGGGCGUCGACCGGCGCACGGGUGAGUAACGCGUAUCCAACCUGCCCAUCACUUGGGGAUAACCUUGCGAAAGUAAGACUAAUACCCAAUGACGUCUCUAGAAGGCAUCUGAAAGAGAUUAAAGAUUUAUCGGUGAUGGAUGGGGAUGCGUCUGAUUAGCUUGUUGGCGGGGUAACGCCACCAAGCAACGAUCAGUAGGGGUUCUGAGAGGAAGGUCCCCCANAUUGGAACUGAGACACGGUCCAAACUCCUACGGGAGGCA